CCAAUAGCGUAUAUUAAAGUUGUUGCAGUUAAAAAGCUCGUAGUUGAAUUUCGGGAUUAGUACGUUGGUCGUGCCUUCGGUACGUACUGGUGUUACUGAUUCCUACCUUCUGACGAACCGUCAUGUCAUUAAUUUGAUGUGGCGGGGAAUCAGGACUGUUACUUUGAAAAAAUUAGAGUGUUUAAAGCAGGCUCGCGCUUGAAUACAUUAGCAUGGAAUAAUGAAAUAGGACGUUCGAUCCUAUUUUGUUGGUUUCUAGGAUUGACGUAAUGAUUAAUAGGGAUAGUUGGGGGCAUUAGUAUUCAAUUGUCAGAGGUGAAAUUCUUGGAUUUAUUGAAGACUAACUACUGCGAAAGCAUUUGCCAAGGAUGUUUUCAUUAAUCAAGAACGAAAGUUAGGGGAUCGAAGACGAUCAGAUACCGUCGUAGUCUUAACCAUAAACUAUGCCGACUAGGGAUCGGAUGAUGUUAUUUUUAAUGACUCAUUCGGCGCCUUACG
rnacentral:rRNA from 1 species